CUCCUCUACUGCAUCUCCUUUAUUGUGCUUUCUCUGGAUUUUUCUGUAGCUCAUAUAGAUGAUAGAAUAUGGCUGUUGCACGGCUUCAACCAAGUGCACAGAUUAGCUGUUCCUAAAUCCGAAUUCCGAAUUCCUGGCAGAGAGAAUCUGAUUGGCUCUGCUGCAGACAGACAUCUAUUCUGGGUCCAAUCAGCUUUAACCAAGGAGGCAGAAUUACAUCGUCCAGACAUGGCUGCCAUGGGAUUUGAAGGCAACAUCCUUUACUGCUGUGAGGAGAAACUCAAGGGGAAAAAUUUAUUGUUACAUUUUCUGUGUCCUGGCUUGAAUGAGAAAUUCUGUCUUUAAGAGUCAGGAAAUGCGACAAGACAACAAAUUAUAUUGCUGACAUAUGUACUGGAAUGGAAGAGAGAAAAAAAACACAUAUUCUUGUUGCCGAGAUGACUGUGUCUACACCCCCAAAAGUGAGACCAAAUCAGAAACAGAACAGCCACUCUAGUAGGAUUAAUACGCUACUCAGAGAGAUGGCUGGAUGAGAGAUAAAUGUAGAAAUUGAAAGCUUUUUUCUAAGUAAUGAGUUAUACGAAAUGGAAAAAUCAUUCCCU